rnacentral:rRNA from 1 species
AGAGUUUGAUCAUGGCUCAGAUUGAACGCUGGCGGCAGGCCUAACACAUGCAAGUCGAACGGUAACAGGAAUCAGCUUGCUGAUUCGCUGACGAGUGGCGGACGGGUGAGUAAUGUCUGGGAAACUGCCUGAUGGAGGGGGAUAACUACUGGAAACGGUAGCUAAUACCGCAUAAUGUCGCAAGACCAAAGAGGGGGACCUUCGGGCCUCUUGCCAUCGGAUGUGCCCAGAUGGGAUUAGCUUGUUGGUGGGGUAACGGCUCACCAAGGCGACGAUCCCUAGCUGGUCUGAGAGGAUGACCAGCCACACUGGAACUGAGACACGGUCCAGACUCCUACGGGAGGCAGCAGUGGGGAAUAUUGCACAAUGGGCGCAAGCCUGAUGCAGCCAUGCCGCGUGUAUGAAGAAGGCCUUCGGGUUGUAAAGUACUUUCAGCGGGGAGGAAGGGAGUAAAGUUAAUACCUUUGCUCAUUGACGUUAUCCGCAGAAGAAGCACCGGCUAACUCCGUGCCAGCAGCCGCGGUAAUACGGAGGGUGCAAGCGUUAAUCGGAAUUACUGGGCGUAAAGCGCACGCAGGCGGUUUGUUAAGUCAGAUGUGAAAUCCCCGGGCUCAACCUGGGAACUGCAUCUGAUACUGGCAAGCUUGAGUCUCGUAGAGGGGGUAGAAUUCCAGGUGUAGCGGUGAAAUGCGUAGAGAUCUGGAGGAAUACCGGUGGCGAAGGCGGCCCCUGGACGAAGACUGACGCUCAGGUGCGAAAGCGUGGGGAGCAAACAGGAUUAGAUACCCUGGUAGUCCACGCCGUAAACGAUGUCGACUUGGAGGUUGUGCCCUUGAGGCGUGGCUUCCGGAGCUAACGCGUUAAGUCGACCGCCUGGGGAGUACGGCCGCAAGGUUAAAACUCAAAUGAAUUGACGGGGGCCCGCACAAGCGGUGGAGCAUGUGGUUUAAUUCGAUGCAACGCGAAGAACCUUACCUGGUCUUGACAUCCACGGAAGUUUUCAGAGAUGAGAAUGUGCCUUCGGGAACCGUGAGACAGGUGCUGCAUGGCUGUCGUCAGCUCGUGUUGUGAAAUGUUGGGUUAAGUCCCGCAACGAGCGCAACCCUUAUCCUUUGUUGCCAGCGGUCCGGCCGGGAACUCAAAGGAGACUGCCAGUGAUAAACUGGAGGAAGGUGGGGAUGACGUCAAGUCAUCAUGGCCCUUACGACCAGGGCUACACACGUGCUACAAUGGCGCAUACAAAGAGAAGCGACCUCGCGAGAGCAAGCGGACCUCAUAAAGUGCGUCGUAGUCCGGAUUGGAGUCUGCAACUCGACUCCAUGAAGUCGGAAUCGCUAGUAAUCGUGGAUCAGAAUGCCACGGUGAAUACGUUCCCGGGCCUUGUACACACCGCCCGUCACACCAUGGGAGUGGGUUGCAAAAGAAGUAGGUAGCUUAACCUUCGGGAGGGCGCUUACCACUUUGUGAUUCAUGACUGGGGUGAAGUCGUAACAAGGUAACCGUAGGGGAACCUGCGGUUG